GAUGAACGCUAGCGGCAGGCUUAACACAUGCAAGUCGAGGGGUAACGUGAGUGCUUGCACUUGACGACGACCGGCGAACGGGUGCGUAACGCGUAUAGAAUCUGCCUUGUACAGGAGGAUAGCCUUUAGAAAUGAAGAUUAAUACUCCAUAAUGUUAUUUAGUGGCAUCAUUAGGUAAUUAAAGAUUUAUUGGUACAAGAUGACUAUGCGUCCUAUUAGUUAGUUGGUAAGGUAACGGCUUACCAAGACUUCGAUAGGUAGGGGGUCUGAGAGGAUUAUCCCCCACACUGGUACUGAGACACGGACCAGACUCCUACGGGAGGCAGCAGUGAGGAAUAUUGGACAAUGGGCGAGAGCCUGAUCCAGCCAUGCCGCGUGCAGGAAGACUGCCCUAUGGGUUGUAAACUGCUUUUAUACAGGAAGAAACCUACUUACGUGUAAGUAGCUGACGGUACUGUAAGAAUAAGCACCGGCUAACUCCGUGCCAGCAGCCGCGGUAAUACGGAGGGUGCAAGCGUUAUCCGGAAUCAUUGGGUUUAAAGGGUCCGCAGGCGGUCAAUUAAGUCAGAGGUGAAAUCUCACAGCUUAACUGUGAAACUGCCUUUGAUACUGGUUGACUUGAGUCAUAUGGAAGUAGAUAGAAUAAGUAGUGUAGCGGUGAAAUGCAUAGAUAUUACUUAGAAUACCGAUUGCGAAGGCAGUCUACUACGUAUGUACUGACGCUCAUGGACGAAAGCGUGGGGAGCGAACAGG
rnacentral:rRNA from 1 species